GGUACGCGCGCGUGCGCAGGAGCCGCGCAUCCCGCGUCCGCCCCGGAGGGUCUCCUGCGCAGUGUGGACGUCGCCGCCGCCGCGCGCUCCCCGGCGCGGGAGGAAAGAGGCUGGCGCGGGGUCCCGGGAGCCCGAGUCCCGGCGGUCCUCUCCGGCCGCACAGCCGGGCUCCGCGCUGCGGGCAGACGGGCAGCGUCCCCGGACACCGCGGCCACGCUCCCUUCUCAGCGAUUCCGUCUGGGCGGCCGGAUGGGAGGAGAGGGCAGAUGCAGAAACUGAGGCACUGAGAGUGCCAGCAGUGGCUGGUGGUGGGAAUGUCCCCAAGGCAGAGGUGAAUCAAGAUUCUUUCAUGAUGAGAGCUCCAUUGAAAGAAAGAAGAUGCACUGAGUAAGGAAACCAACAUUGAACACCUGCUCUGCCAGUGUGCUGCAUUCUCCGGCUUGCAUGUAGGCUCUUCUUGGACCAGCACAGAACUAAGUGUAAAAAGACUCAAGUUCUAGUUCAAGUUCUGUCACUGACAAGCUAUGUGAUCUUAGGUAGUUCACUUAACAUUCUUGUUUUUAGUUCCUAAUACAAAAAAAUGAGAAAUUUGGUUUCCACUGAAAAACCUUCCCUAAUAGAAAAAGCUUAUGAUUUUACUAUAAAAUGUCUUGCCUGUCAGACCACCUUCACCCUCCAUCACCUGCUCAUCAGCGUGCUUUCUUUCUCCAGUUUGUUUUCCUACCUUCUGGCCUUCGUUGUUUCUGGUUACCUCUCUCCGUCCCAUCCCCGCCUUCACCAGUGGCUUAGCCCCAGUUGCAACAGGUAAACUACUCGAGGGUGGAGUAAUAUUUGCAUAGAAUCUGCAGAUUAAUAAAUUAUUAUCAUUAUCAUAGUAAUAAUUACACCUUUGUUUUCACCCUGAUCCGAUCUUUUUUUUUUUUUUUUUUUUUGCGGUACGCGGGCCUCUCACUGCUGUGGUCUCUCCCGCUGCGGAGCACAGGCUCCGGACGCGCAGGCUCAGCGGCCACGGCUCACGGGCCCAGCCGCUCCGCGGCAUGUGGGAUCUUCCCGGACCGGGUCACGAACCCGUGUCCCCUGCAUCGGCAGGCGGACUCCCAACCACUGCGCCACCAGGGAAGCCCUCACCCUGACCUUUGAGCUCAAAUUAAUCCUGCCCUA